AUAACAUUAAACCGGCCAAAAAAAUUCAGCCCAAUUCAAAUUUUGAGCCCGGCACAAUAUCUAUAACAGCCCAUACACACCUCUCCUCAAUAUAAAAGUCUGAACCCCCUGAUGAAACCCUAGCAAAUUCAUUUUCACUCACCUCCCCUCCCUGUUGGCGGCGGCCAAAGAGCAGCGAGGCGUGGAAGCCAACAUUCCCGUCGGCCUCCUCCUAGAUCUUCGUUCCUCUGCUUCCUGAUCCGUCGAGUCCCUAAUCCGGCUGUCGUGCUUGGCGUUGGGCCCUGCUGCUCAUGGAGGCCUCACGUAGUUGGUCGGCGGCCGGGAUGCAGCGGGUUGGUCGGCAGCGGCGCCGGCGCCGACGGUCAAAUCGUCGAACAUAUCGGAGUUGGUGACGAUGCGCCGGCUGGGCUGCAAUAUACUACAUCUGGAAGCAUGCUUAUUAUCGUUCUUAUUCUAUCUUGAUGUUUGUAUCAUCUUGUUUUAAACAAGGAAGUAGCUAAAAUACGGCCGGUCGUAAAUUUGCUUGAUGGUACUACAAUGAUUAGAAAAAUCAUGAUGCUUUCUGCUUU